rfam:Camelus ferus unplaced genomic scaffold scaffold200, whole genome shotgun sequence.
GGAAUGGUAGAGCUCAUGUGGUAGAGUGCGUGCUUGGCAUGCACAAGGUCCUGGGUUCAAUCCCCAGCACCUCCU